CCUGCCAUGCAGAAUUUCAAUUUCCCAGCUCUCAUGCUGAUUGCAUGAGUUUAUAAUUAAAAUAAAUAAAUCAGAGCUUGCAAAACCUCAUAAAUAUUGGGUUUCUUCAAUUUG
rnacentral:snoRNA from 1 species